AUUGAACGCUGGCGGCAGGCCUAACACAUGCAAGUCGAACGGUAACAGGAAGAAGCUUGCUUCUUUGCUGACGAGUGGCGGACGGGUGAGAAAUGUCUGGGAAACUGCCUGAUGGAGGGGGAUAACUACUGGAAACGGUAGCUAAUACCGCAUAACGUCGCAAGACCAAAGAGGGGGACCUUCGGGCCUCUUGCCAUCGGAUGUGCCCAGAUGGGAUUAGCUAGUAGGUGGGGUAACGGCUCACCUAGGCGACGAUCCCUAGCUGGUCUGAGAGGGUGACCAGCCACACUGGAACUGAGACACGGUCCAGACUCCUACGGGAGGCAGCAGUGGGGAAUAUUGCACAAUGGGCGCAAGCCUGAUGCAGCCAUGCCGCGUGUAUGAUGAAGGCCUUCGGGUUGUAAAGUACUGUCAGCGGGGAGGAAGGGAGUAAAGUUAAUACCUGUGCUCAUUGACGUUACCCGCAGAAGAAGCACCGGCUAACUCCGUG
rnacentral:rRNA from 1 species